rnacentral:rRNA from 1 species
GACGUAGGAGGCGAGCGUUAUCCGGAUUCACUGGGCGUAAAGCGCAUGUAGGCGGAUGUCUAAGUCGUGUGUUAAAGCCCCUGGCUCAACUGGGGGAGGUCAUGCGAGACUGGAUGACUUGAGGGCAACAGAGGCACGUGGAACUCCCGGUGUAGCGGUGGAAUGCGUAGAGAUCGGGAAGAACACCCGUGGCGAAGGCGGCGUGCUGGGUUGCAACUGACGCUGAGGCACGAAAGUGUGGGGAUCAAACAGG